ACGGACCAAGGAGUCUAACGCAUGCGCAAGUCAGAGGGUUUUCUCCGAACACACCCCGUGGCGCAAUGAAAGUGAGGGCCGGCGCGUGUCGGCUGAGGUGGGAUCCCGACCCUACGGGGUCGGGCGCACCACCGGCCCGUCUCGCCCGCUUUGUCGGGGAGGUGGAGCGUGAGCGCAUGCGAUAGGA
rnacentral:rRNA from 1 species